GCUUGCGCCUCUACGAAAAAUCAAUAGAACCGACUAUGUAUGGGGACUCCUGUUAUUGGAACACCAAACCUACGUCACACACUGGCAACAGGAAAUUCGAUUCUGCGAGGAAAAGUGCACGAACUUUUCCCUCGUUGCGACCUCCGCGAGAUGACAAUGGAUCUUGUUCUGUUCCUCGUACACACGUGAUAUUCGAGCCAUCAUUAUACCGAAGACACUUGAUACUUUGAUGCAGCAGGAUUCAAGGACAUGGUCUUGGAUUUCUUGGAACUGCGUAAACAAAUGGUUUGUCAUAGGUUUGGAUAAUUGGUACAACGUCGCUUAUAAAAGAGAAGAUGGUUUUCUUUCAUAUAGAUUUGUAUUUUUAUGUAUCUUGCUCUAGGUAGAGGGAUGCUAUCACUACAGUUGGGGAAUCAUAAAUUAUUCAAUAAUUA